rnacentral:rRNA from 1 species
UACAGAGGUCCCAAGCGUUGUUCGGAUUUAUUGGGCGUAAAGGGUGCGUAGGCGGCGGAGUAAGUUGGGUGUGAAAUCCCGGGGCUCAACCUCGGAAUUGCAUUCAAUACUGCUUCGCUCGAGUACUGGAGAGGAGACUGGAAUUUACGGUGUAGCAGUGAAAUUCGUAGAUAUCGAGAGGAACACCGGUGGCGAAGGCGGCGAUCUGGACGAUGACUGACGCUGAGACGCGAAAGCGUGGGGAGCAAACAGG